rnacentral:lncRNA from 1 species
UCAUCAUCAAGGUGGGAGCAUGGCAGCAUUCAGGCAAGCAUGGUCCAGGAGGAGCUGAGAGUUCUACAUCUUUAUCUGAAGACUGCUAGGAGAAGAGUAGCUUCCAGGGAAGGAGAGAAUGAUGCUGGCCACUGCAAGAGGAGAGGGGACUGUGGUUUGCUGGUGGAGUGGUCACAUCAGAGCUUCUGCUGCAGUCUCUUUGCUUCUGGUCAAGUUCUAGCUCUGGGAUUAUUAAUCAAGCAUUAGUAACUCCGGAGUCAAGGCUCUGCAUGGUGCAGCCUCUGAGUUUGGCUCAGAACGGGCAUAUUGCCUGGAGUUUAUGACGCUCACAUUGUUUUUCAUAUGGUUAUCCUGUGGGUGUAACGUUGCUGCCUCGAAGGAAACUCCAUAAGGUACACAGUUGUCAACACGUUAAGCCUCCCAGUGCCUUCAUCCAAAAACUGCAAUGUCCAGAGACGGCUGCUCAUCAAAAUUCAGAACUAGACUUGAUGCUAAUCUCCCUUUAUCGUGGCCAGUGAGUCAUGGGAUGAAUACGCCAGAGCCACCAGGGACACAGAGAGAGAUGAGGAGAAGCAGAAGCAGAGAUGGGGAGAGAACACAGGACGGGUACCGAGUGACGUCAUGCUCUGUGUGCACAGACCUUCCUCCAUGAACACUGAAUUUUUCAGAGAUUCCCACUAGCCUCCUUUCUGUAAAUCACUUGAUCCAGUGGCUGCAUUUUUAACUGACAAGAACCUUAAU